UAUAUGUUCUUCAAGUUACUCUUCUGCCGCGACAUCAUUUAUGUAUAUCGAAUGGGGUUUUGACCUUAUUGUACCUCAAAACCCUGCCGGAUCACGGAUAAAGGAACUUCCGUUGUACAUAAUUAAAAUUGAUAUAAAAAGAAGGUAACCCAAGGAAGACUAGAAACACAUGGAAGUGCGACUUAAAAAGCGUACACUUUUUUAAUACCAUUCAGAGGUGAUGUUUCAAAUAUGAAUUAGUUUACCUUUCUAUGUUGAUUAUGUUGUUAGUUAUCGAUCACGCUCCAGUGAAUUUGGCUCCACCAUGGAUUAUACGUGUUCUGCUCCUGGAUGUAGUUCCAGCGUAAUUAAGGAUUCUGAAGUGAGCAUUCAUCACUUCCUAAUGAUGGACUCUACCAUGUUGGCAAUGUCGUAUAGGAGCAUUCCAAGAGACACACGUUAUUACUUAUUAGACGCCAUCGCCUAAUUCAUGAUUGUGUUGCAAACAUUUUAAGUCCCAUGAUUUCGUCGCCAUAUCUUUGGGCACAAGACGUGAGAAAGGAAACUGAGACAUUUGAAAGAGGAUUCCAUUCCAUCCCAAUGGCAUAAUCUUCUUACCUACCUAUCAUCACGACCGCCCAUCCCUAGACUAACGAGAGCCUUAACUACCAAUCGAAGACUCAAGUUACAAAACGAACGGUUUUAAAGCAUCAGAAAAUUAUAUGUUUUUUGCAAGAGACAGUCCACUCGGCAAAAAAUCUCUAUCUGGAGCUCUCUUCUCAAACAUUGCCUUCAAGAUAUGUUUUGAUGCAAGUUCCAAAUGGUAAAAAUAAUCCAUUCAGAUGACAAAGGAUUGGAUAUUUCUGUCAGCUUCGAAGUGAAAGAUGACUUAUCAUUCAAGAUAUAUCAUAAUCAUACUCAACUCAAAAACGGCUGUGUAUCCCACUGUUUAAGAUUUUCUGAAAGAAUCAACACUGUAACAGAAGCCAUCAACG
rnacentral:lncRNA from 1 species